UACAUGUGGGGCAAGCGUUGUUCGGAAUUACUGGGCAUAAAGGGUGCGUAGGUGGCUUGUUAAGUCAGGGGUGAAAGUUUUCGGCCCAACCGGAAAAUGGCCUUUGAUACUGGCGAGCUCGAGUGCGUGAGGGGUAACCGGAACGAGCAGUGUAGCGGUGAAAUGCGUAGAUAUUGCUCGGAAGGCCAACGGCGAAGGCAGGUUACUGGUGCGCAACUGACGCUCAGACACGACAGCAUGGGGAGCGAACGGG
rnacentral:rRNA from 1 species